GUAUAUUGGUUUUUUUUUUUUUUAUUCAUUAAUACAAAGGCUAAGUACUAGGUGUAGACUUAUAGGGGUUCCUUGCCUUUAAAGCUUUUUUAACUAUUUCGAUUUUUCGGUUUUCCAUAUGUAAAUAGUUAAUAAAUGUGGGCGCUUGCGACUUUUUACUUCAAUCUUCUUCAACUUCUUCACUUUGCUCUAUAAUACUUUCUUUGUUAGUUACACGUAUGCUUGAUAAUGUUAAUUAUACAUUUAUAUAAAUAUAAAUAUAUAUAUGUAUAAGUGAGCUUUAUAUGUGUGUUGUAUAUUAAACUAGCC